UCCCCGUUCACACGUUCUACC
ensembl:piRNA 21ur-3431 ncRNA